rnacentral:rRNA from 1 species
UGGGGAAUAUUGCACAAUGGGCGAAAGCCUGAUGCAGCGACGCCGCGUGGGGGAUGAAGGCCUUCGGGUUGUAAACCCCUUUCAGCAGGGAAGAAGCGAAAGUGACGGUACCUGCAGAAGAAGCGCCGGCUAACUACGUGCCAGCAGCCGCGGUAAUACGUAGGGCGCAAGCGUUGUCCGGAAUUAUUGGGCGUAAAGAGCUCGUAGGCGGUUUGUCGCGUCUGCUGUGAAAACCCGAGGCUCAACCUCGGGCCUGCAGUGGGUACGGGCAGACUAGAGUGCGGUAGGGGAGACUGGAAUUCCUGGUGUAGCGGUGGAAUGCGCAGAUAUCAGGAGGAACACCGAUGGCGAAGGCAGGUCUCUGGGCCGCAACUGACGCUGAGGAGCGAAAGCAUGGGGAGCGAACA